UACAGAGGUGGCAAGCGUUGUUCGGAAUUACUGGGCGUAAAGGGCGCGUAGGCGGCCUCCUAAGUCAGACGUGAAAUCCCCCGGCUUAACCUGGGAACUGCGUCUGAUACUGGGAGGCUAGAGUGCGGGAGAGGGAUGCGGAAUUCCAGGUGUAGCGGUGAAAUGCGUAGAGAUGUGGAGGAACACCAGUGGCGAAGGCGGCUUUCUGGUCUGUAACUGACGCUGAGGCGCGAAAGCGUGGGGAGCAAACAGG
rnacentral:rRNA from 1 species